rnacentral:rRNA from 1 species
UACGGAGGGUGCAAGCGUUAAUCGGAAUUACUGGGCGUAAAGCGUGCGCAGGCGGCUAUGCAAGACAGAUGUGAAAUCCCCGGGCUCAACCUGGGAACUGCAUUUGUGACUGCCCGGCUAGAGUUUGGCAGAGGGGGGUAGAAUUCCACGUGUAGCAGUGAAAUGCGUAGAUAUGUGGAGGAAUACCGAUGGCGAAGGCAGCCCCCUGGGUCAAGACUGACGCUCAUGCACGAAAGCGUGGGGAGCAAACAGG